rnacentral:rRNA from 1 species
GACGAACGCUGGCGGCGUGCUUAACACAUGCAAGUCGAACGGAAAGGCCCUGCUUUUGUGGGGUGCUCGAGUGGCGAACGGGUGCGUAACACGUGAGUAACCUGCCCUUGACUUUGGGAUAACUUCAGGAAACUGGGGCUAAUACCGGAUAGGAGCUCCCGCUGCAUGGUGGGGGUUGGAAAGUUUCGGCGGUUGGGGAUGGACUCGCGGCUUAUCAGCUUGUUGGUGGGGUAGUGGCUUACCAAGGCUUUGACGGGUAGGCGGCCUGAGAGGGUGGACGGCCACAUUGGGACUGAGAUACGGACCAGACUGCUACGGGAGGCAACAGUGGGGAGUAUUGCACAGUGGGCGGAAGCCUGAUGCAGAAACGCCGCGUGCGGGAUGACGGCCUUCGGGUUGUGAACCGCUUUCGCCUGUGACGAAGCGUGAGUGACGGUAAUGGAUAAAGAAGCACCGGCUAACUACGUG